rnacentral:misc_RNA from 1 species
GAUGAAGAACGCAGCGAAAUGCGAUACGUAAUGUGAAUUGCAAAUUCAGUGAAUCAUCGAGUCUUUGAACGCACAUUGCGCCCCCUGGUAUUCCGGGGGGCAUGCCUGUCCGAGCGUCAUUGCCGCCCUCAAGCACGGCUUGUGUGUUGGGCCCCCGCCCCCCGGCUUCGGGGGGCGGGCCCGAAAGGCAGCGGCGGCACCGCGUCCGGUCCUCGAGCGUAUGGGGCUUCGUCACCCGCUCUGUAGGCCCGGCCGGCGCCCGCCGGCGACCCCAAUCAAUCUUUCCAGGUUGACCUCGGAUCAGGUAGGGAUACCCGCUGAACUUAAGCAUAUCAAUAAGCGGAGGA